AGCGGCGGACGGGUGAGUAGCGCGUGGGUAACCUGCCUCAUACAGGGGGAUAACAGUUGGAAACGGCUGCUAAUACCGCAUAAGCGCACAGUACCGCAUGGUACGGUGUGAAAAACUCCGGUGGUAUGAGAUGGACCCGCGUCUGAUUAGGUAGUUGGUGGGGUAACGGCCUACCAAGCCGACGAUCAGUAGCCGACCUGAGAGGGUGACCGGCCACAUUGGGACUGAGACACGGCCCAA
rnacentral:rRNA from 1 species